CAACAACAGACGCGAAAAUGAAGACAUCGUGUGUGAUCACAGCCAGCUUUCUCAUCGCAGCCGUCAUCACAGUCGUAUGUGGUGGCCCGCUCGAAGGCAGUGUAAGAUCGAGACAGGCAGAAUACAUUAGAGAACUCAACUGCUUAUUAAAAGGAAGGCUGGCAUCAGAAUGCAAAAUGAUAGAGCCGGGCGAGUACGCAAGAAAUGCCAGAUAUUCCGAGAGCGAAGGAAG